rnacentral:lncRNA from 1 species
CUCGCAGAAAACAAGAUAACAACCUUUUAGGCAAGCAGACUCAUUUCAGAUAAUUUGCAACCAGGUACGACUCUAAAUAGGUUUCAACAGCUAAAUCACAAUAACAGUAGCACAUGACACGAAGAAUUCAUAGAUGAGCCAGAUUCUGAAAACAUCACCUAGUACAAAACUUAGGCAGGGGAAGUAACCAAGUAUCACAUGUUCGUUUUGACAAAAUGAUACAACUGAUGAUGCGGGGCAGCAGCUCAAGCCUUGAGCUUGCCGUAGAACCUCUGCUUCUCGUCCGUGGUCUGGAAGCGACCGUGCCCAAACUUGGAAGAGGUGUCGACGAACUUGAGCUUGAUCUCCUCCAGGGCCAGACGAGAGGUCUGCUUCAGCAGGGACUGGCGGAGGGUCACCACCCGCUUCUUGGGGCCGAC